AUUGCUUCUCUCCUCUCCUCUCCUGUCUGCUCUCUCUUCCCUCACUUUCUCUCUCUAAAAUGUCCUUUUUGUAACUCUCUUUCUCCGUUGUGUGUUUGGCUCUGUUUUCUUGGCGGCUGAGAAAGAGAGAGAGAGAAAAAUCUGAGGAAGAAGAGGGAGAGAGGGGCAAGAAAGAGCCAUGGGUUGUUUUCGUUGUGGAAAAUCAGAUAAAAAGUUGAAGAAAAACAGUGACAGUAGCAGCCACAACAGCAACAACAACAGCAAACCCAAUGUUCAAACACAGUCCAGUCCAGAUGCAUUGAAAGUUAAUCCAUAUUUGGAUGUGAAGAAGGAGAUGGAUGCGGAGAAACAGGACUCUAAGGAAGUUAAUCCAUCUUUGGAUGUGAAGAAGGAGGUCUCUGGGAAUGGAUUACCUGAUAAAAAUGGAUCGCCUGAUAAAAAUGGAUUACCUGAUAAAAAUCAGGCACGGACAUUUACAUUUCAUCAACUUGCGGUUGCAACUGAUAAUUUCAGGUCUGAUUGUUUCUUGGGCGAGGGAGGUUUUGGCAAAGUUUUUAAGGGAUAUUUGGAUAACCCAAGUCAGGUUGUGGCAAUCAAGCAACUUGAUCGCAAUGGAUUGCAAGGGAUUAGGGAAUUUUUUGUUGAAGUAUUGACAUUGAGCUCUGUUGAUCACCCUAAUCUUGUCAAAUUAAUUGGGUAUUGUGCUGAGGGUGAUCAAAGACUGCUAGUUUACGAGUACAUGCCAUUAGGAUCUUUGGAAAACCAUUUGCAUGACCUUCCACCUGGCACGAAACCACUUGAUUGGAAUUCAAGAAUGAAAAUAGCUGCUGGUGCAGCCAAAGGCUUAGAGUAUUUACAUGACAAAAUGUAUCCCCCUGUUAUAUACCGUGAUCUGAAGUGCUCAAACAUUUUGCUUGGGGAGGGCUAUCAUCCUAAACUAUCAGAUUUUGGCUUGGCAAAAGUGGGUCCUACAGGGGAUAAGACUCAUGUUUCGACAAGGGUGAUGGGUACAUAUGGGUACUGUGCACCAGAUUAUGCAAUGACUGGUCAGCUGACAUUUAAGUCAGAUAUUUACAGCUUCGGGGUGGUUCUUUUGGAGCUCAUUACAGGCAGGAAAGCAAUUGAUAAUUCAAAAGGUGCUAGGGAGCAAAAUCUGGUUGCAUGGGCACGACCCCUGUUCAAAGACCGGAGGAAAUUCUCACAGAUGGCUGACCCAUUACUCCAUGGUCAGUAUCCUGUCAGAGGUUUGUACCAAGCUCUUGCCAUUGCUGCAAUGUGUGUGCAGGAGCAACCUAACAUGCGGCCCCUCAUAGCUGAUGUCGUUACUGCUUUAAACUACCUUGCUUCUCAAACAUACAACCCCCAAAUCCAUCCAGUCCAAAGCCACCAGGGGAGCAUUUCUCCCACAACGAGAAAGGGCAGUGAUAAGAAGUCAUCGCAGGAAAUGCACCAGAGGAAGACUGAAGGAGAGAAGUAAACUAGGAAUCAGGCUGUCUUCUCUGGUUUCAUUGGGGGAACAGAGAGAACAUUGACCACGUAUCGACCCUUAGACGACAAGUAUGUGAUCAAUGUUAGGCAGCAGCAGCAACUUCAGGGGAGGCAAUCUGCGAUAAGGAGAAUGGAUGAUAUCGGCGAUCUUCCCAUCUAUGAUCCGCGCUCCACAGUCGGUCGGAGAUCGCGACCGUGGCCUGAAAAGUGGAUUCAUGUGAUUCCUGUCACGAUUCUGCUCGUUUUCUUCAUUCUCUGGUGGUCCUCUUACCCAGUGUGGGUGGAGAUGAAGGACAAAAGAAUUCUAUCUGUUCAUCGGAUCUUACAACCGCAGUCUCUCAAUAAUACUCACUUUGACAUCACCAUCUUGGCAUCUACAACUUCACCAAUUGCCUCAGUCCCUCAGAAUCUUACACGAAACAAUGAAACUGUAGCAUUCCCAGUGAGUAAAGCCGAUUGAAAAAUUACCUUUUCUGAAUGGGAAAAUAGUUCCAUGAAAUUUAGUCCUGUCAAUAUUACUGUUACUAGAGAUUGAGAUUGCUUUGCCCCACGGGAUUUUGAUAAUCUUCAGGAACAAAUAAGGGAAAUAAUGUGAAAAGGCUUCUAGGGUUUGUCUCAAAGAAUAAUCAGGUGGAAUACACGU